rnacentral:tRNA from 1 species
GAUAGGGUGGCUGAAGUAUAGGCUGUAAAUUGUAAAUUUAUAAAUGGUGUGUAUACCCCCUUUCA